rnacentral:misc_RNA from 1 species
GAGGUUGCAUCACCCUGCCCGGUGCCUUGAUGCGCCUUUAACAAAAUUGCUCAAAUUGAAACAAAAGUUGCUAGUAUGAGGUCGUUAUUUGAAUUUCUUGGUUUUCCCUUUAGGCUCAAGUGUUCUUUUGCAACCACUGCUUUACUGGUUGCCCUAUUUUUCUGUCAAUAUACUAUCUAAGGAUAUGCACUGUGCUCAUUCCUUUAUGCAUAUAUAUCUCUUCUCACAAAGUUUUUU